rnacentral:lncRNA from 1 species
CAUCCCUAACCCAGAAGACAAAACCGCCAUGUCUCUCACUCGAGCCAAAGUCCUCGAAAACAAAGCCGACCUCGGUGUCGUCUUCGACACUGACGUUGACCGUAGUGGUGUGGUGGAUCACCAGGGCAACCCAAUCAAUGGUGACAAACUCAUCGCCCUAAUGUCCUCCAUCGUCCUUCGAGACCACCCUGCCACCACCAUCGUCACCGACGCCCGUACCAGUGUUGCUCUCACGAAGUUCAUUACCAGCCGAGGUGGACGACAUUGUCUGUACCGCGUCGGGUAUCGCAAUGUCAUUGACAAAGGAAUCCAACUCAACAUGGAUGGAAUCGAGACGCAUCUC